AUUGAACGCUAGCGGAAUGCUUUACACAUGCAAGUCGAACGGCAGCACGGGGGCAACCCUGGUGGCGAGUGGCGAACGGGUGAGUAAUACAUCGGAACGUGCCCAGUCGGUGGGGGAUAACGUAGCGAAAGCUACGCUAAUACCGCAUACGAACUCUGGUUGAAAGCGGGGGACUCGCAAGAGCCUCGCGCGAUUGGAGCGGCCGAUGGCAGAUUAGGCAGUUGGUGGGGAAAGGCUCACCAAGCCGACGAUCUGUAGCUGGUCUGAGAGGACGACCAGCCACACUGGGACUGAGACACGGCCCAGACUCCUACGGGAGCAGCAGUGGGGAAUUUUGGACAAUGGACGCAAGUCUGAUCCAGCCAUUCCGCGUGCAGGAUGAAGGCCC
rnacentral:rRNA from 1 species